rnacentral:rRNA from 1 species
CCUACGGGAGGCAGCAGUGAGGAAUAUUGGUCAAUGGACGCAAGUCUGAACCAGCCAUGCCGCGUGCAGGAAGACGGCUCUAUGAGUUGUAAACUGCUUUUGUACGAGGGUAAACGCAGAUACGCGUAUCUGUCUGAAAGUAUCGUACGAAUAAGGAUCGGCUAACUCCGUGCCAGCAGCCGCGGUAAUACGGAGGAUUCAAGCGUUAUCCGGAUUUAUUGGGUUUAAAGGGUGCGUAGGCGGUCGGAUAAGUUAGCGGUGAAAUCCCGGGGCUCAACUUCGGAAUUGCCUCUGAUACUGUUCGGCUAGAGAGUAGUUGCGGUAGGCGGAAUGUAUGGUGUAGCGGUGAAAUGCUUAGAGAUCGUACAGAACACCGAUUGCGAAGGCAGCAUACCAAGCUACUUCUGACGUUGAGGCACGAAAGCGUGGGGAGCAAACAGGAUUAGAUACCCGUGUAGUC